rnacentral:rRNA from 1 species
UACGUAGGGCGCAAGCGUUGUCCGGAAUUAUUGGGCGUAAAGAGCUCGUAGGCGGUUUGUCGCGUCUGCCGUGAAAACCCGAGGCUUAACCUCGGGCCUGCGGUGGAUACGGGCAGACUAGAGGUAGGUAGGGGAGAAUGGAAUUCCCGGUGUAGCGGUGAAAUGCGCAGAUAUCGGGAGGGACACCGGUGGCGAAGGCGGUUCUCUGGGCCUUACCUGACGCUGAGGAGCGAAAGCGUGGGGAGCGAACAGG